AUCGGAGCAAAACGAAGAGAAAAUCCGCACGAAGGAGAGAGAGAGAGAAGAAAAAACUGUACUACAUGACUAACGUGAGUAUAUGACAGUCGCAGUGUUCUGGAUAUUUUACAGAAACGAUAGCGGAGAUGUAAGCAGAGUGCAGAAGAAACAAUAUUUCCUCAGACAGGACAUGGGACGGCUCAACUCCACAAGUAACAUUUUACGCCUGUUGUUGGCCACCGUAAUUCUGGCCUGCGUGGCUAGAGGAGAUCAGCGAACCCGGCACGAGCCUCCGGGUCGUUUACGUCCUAAGCCAUCUCAAGAUCUUCCCAUCAUAGGACUGAUAGAAUCGACUGACAAGAAGUACGAUCCUCUACCAGAAGAUCUCAACUACCUUAAACUCAGGAACCUGAUGGGUAAGAACUUCGAUCCGGAGUGCAUGAGUCACUAUCGACCGAUCGAAAGCAUAAAGCAUCCAAAUGGCACACUUGAACACAUUACUUUCAAAGGCAAUAAUCGUGGUCGUCUUCGACGUCGACGUCGGAUGCCGUCAAAAAUCAAGGACUUGAAGCUCCACUCUCUCACGCUACCGGACGGCACGAAACUACGGCUAAAGUUCGGCAAAAAGAUACGCCGCAAGUUCAAGAAGAUGUUAUGGGUGUUCACCUACUGUCCGGUGGUUCGCACGUGGAGGAACCUCGGGAUUCGGUUCUGGCCACAAUGGAUUCGUGAAGGAAUGUGUUACCAAAAGAGUUCGUGCUCUUUCCCGCCAGGAAUGAGUUGCAAACCACGAAAUUCGGUGAAGAAAACUCUUCUACGGUGGCACUGCCAGAACUGGGAGAAGCGACACGUGUGCAGGUGGAUACCGGUGAUAUACCCUGUCAUCACGGAAUGCCAGUGCAGCUGUUAAUGUCAUCUGACUGCUUAGCAUCUGAGAGGACCGAGUGAUACAACCACUGUUGUUUGCGUCGCCACUGCCGACUAACCUUAUACUGUGGAGGCGUCUACUUCAGCUCUCCGGCGCCAGAUCCUGCCUAAUUUUGGUCCCACUAGUGGGUUGCGUGGGCUCGCGCGUCUGUGAUGCCCAUUCCUUAUAGAUAAAUUGACGGCAAUAUCAUUGCUCCAGACGGUUUAGAUUCACGGCAACAUCGUAGCUCCAGACGGUUUAGAUUGACGGCAACAUCGUAGCUCCAGACGGUUUAGAUUCACGGCAACAUCGUAGCUCCAGACGGUUUAGAUUCACGGCAACAUCGUAACUCCAGACGGUUUAGAUUGACGACAACAUCGUAGCUCCAGACGGUUUAGAUUGACGGCAACAUCGUAGCU
rnacentral:misc_RNA from 1 species